GCUCGUGUGGCCUAAUGGAUAAGGCGCCUCCCUCCUAAGGAGGAGAUUGGAGUGUCCUCAUGGAAUCCUCCACGUGCC
rnacentral:tRNA from 1 species